AUGUAACUCAAUAGUUUGCCAACAAUCAUGUGAUAAAGAAAGGAAAAAGAUGGUUAUAAGCAAUCAUGUUAUUUUUUCCCUUUUUGUCAUUAUUUUAAGUGUUGCAAGUGAAAAAAGAUGGAUCUUGAAAGUACCAUGAGUUUGUUGAAUGUCUUCUGGAAAUCUUUGCUGGCAACCAUCUCUAAAUCAGAUCAGCUGCCUGCAACACUUAGAUCGAAGAGGACUAGGAAGUAUGGUGCAAUAUCAUCAGAAAUGAACUUAAGAUCUGCAAAUUUAAAAUUCCGGAAUUGACACGAGUUAAAUAUAAGCGAAAAGGAGACGCACAAAAUGACCUCACAAGUGGAAUUCUUCAUUUAGUUACAAUAUAGUAGCUUGACCUUCUGCUCAGUAAUUAGGUAUUCAACCUCACAAGUUCCCAUUUCUGUAGAGUGCAACCUAGAGGCACAACAACAAUGAGAUAUUUCCAUUAGUCAGCAAAAAGGGCGGCAGUUUGGACCUUAUAAUUGACCCCCCAGAGUUUGGAGAACACAUUCAAGAUUGUAAUAUGCAGUUUUCCUACAUAAAUGGCAAAAGCAACAAUUCAGUAAUCCAUAUGUCCAACUACUAAUGAUUAGCAACAGAAGAACUCAAAACAUUUUACCCCAUCGAAUAUCCAACCAUUAAUACUUAGCAUUAGAAUAACAACAUUUCACCAAAAAAGGGAAUAUAAAACAUUGCAUGGAGAAUAAUGCAUCAAAGAAGGGUUCAAGGGGGAAAAGGAAAGCACAAACAACAGAUUGUUUUCCUAGUUGUAGAUAAAACCAUUCACGUCAAGCUAAGGAGGGGCUGAUGACCGGGUGAAACUUUCUGAAAGAUGUGCAGACAAAUGCUGACUCUUCUUUGAAUAUAUCAAAGGAGGAUAUGGGGUCCAGCCUAUUCUCUAUGAUAGAAAGGCUAAGCAUAUAUACACUGAGGCGGAACCUUCCAAAAUGAAGUACAUAAAAGUAUUGGAAUUGCAGGAAAUUUGGAGUGGCUGAAUUUGGGCUAGAUAAAAAGGGUUUUGGAGAAUAUGGUCCAGAUUGUGUCCAAUAAACUACUUUGGAAUAACUGAACAGGAAUUAAGAUUGGCAUGGAGACUUGUUCCAUUAUUGAAAGAAGUCAUCUGGAUGAAGCUUGAUCAGACAAAAUAGCAUGCAUUCAAGGAGAAGGGAAUGACACUUUGAGCAUGCUAGGUGGCUGAGGAAGACCAUAGACUACUCUGACAUGGAAGGUGGGAAUUCCUUUUAAGACUCUGGCCCCUGGUCCCCUGGGAUCUAGCACACUUGUUUUAGGAGACUCUAACCAGUAUGCAUUUAACCAUAUGACAGAGUUAUCAAGAAGAAUGAAAACAAACAAAACUUCAGAAAUCAAAAAACAUGCAACAAAUUGACUUCACGACUGAGUAAUUCUAUAAAUCUAGCUACCACCUCAACAGCAAACUGAAAAGUCUAACAUAAAUAGAUUACAGUUUGAAAAAGUGCAGCUCUUUGAAUCCUACUGAGGAUGGGGCUCUGACGACUAAUUACAAUGAAUCAUUACUUCCACAAACCUCAUAUUGCAAAGCCAAUCUAUGACAAGAAUUGUAGCUUUUACAACUACCACUUCAAGUCAUUUAUAUGGACUUCACUCACUCCAAAGUCCAAAAUAAAUGAGAUAACUAAACAUCUAUAUGAUAAAUACAAAGCUACCAGAGAUUACAUCUACAAUACGAAUGCUAUGGAUGUAUAAUUUUGUAUAUCCAUUUCUGAUUUCAUGAAAUAAAUGGGUACCUAUCUGUAUUACUUCUAUAACCUUUACAUCUACAUUCCCAGUGGAAACACCAGGUAAUCUAUAUAUCCAUAGAUAACACUAGCAGGAAUUUUUGAAGCAGAGCCACAAUGUUUGGUAUGUAAAAUGUAAACUGAUCCAAGCAACAUUCAUCAACACAUGCCAGUGAUCAAUAUCAAGAUAAUGAAACAUGGAUCCACCUAAGAAAAUCUAAAUUGUCCAAAAUUAAAGGUCCCUACCUUCGUAUGAAAACCGCUAAAACUAAGGAACAUACAGUUCUUCACAAACACUUCUCAAACUCUUAAUUUAUUUCUAAACAUCUGAUAAAAACAUUGCAGUGUCAUACACAUACAUUAAGUUAUUAAAAUACUAAAAUGUAAACUAAUUUCUAGAAAUUCAAGAGAGAAUAUUUUCUCAAAGAAGAGAAAAAAAGGGCUCUCCACUAAAUUAAUAAAUUAACCACUAAACUGAAGUAUGUUGCAGGGCCAGAACCAACCCCCAACCCAAGAGUUACAUAUAAAAGUUUGGAAAUUAAAAAAAAAAAAGAAGUAAUCCAACAUAAAUUGCAUAGAAUUGUGAAAAGAGAAGUAUCCAGAGCUAGGAAGUUUAAAUAAAAUUUGAACAAGUGAGGCAAAAAGAUAAUAGAGAUGAGAAAGAUACCAUCUUAAUUCAUUGAUAGCAUCAAGACCAAGAAGUUGAAUGAUAAGUUCCUCAUUUUCAAAUCAACAUCCAAACAUUUUAGUUCACAUAAAGUGGUCCCAAAACCAUGCUAAGGUCGUUACAUGAAGGACAGAAGGUGAAAUUGAAUGAUAAGUCCCUCCAUUUUUUGUUAUUACAUCUAGACUCAAAAUUUUGUGUUCCCCAUACAGUGACACCAUAACCAUUGUGGAUCAUUAUAUGAAACAUGGGAGGUAAAUAUGAAUUAUAAGACCUUCUGUUAUUCACUUAUUACAUCAAGAACCAAAACUACAUGUAUCCACAUAAUGAACCCAUAACCAUUCUUCGAGAACUAGAAGCAUGGAAGCUGAAACUGAAGGAUGAAGUCCCUACCUGUUAUUCACACAGUACAUCAAGAACCAAAAAUUUGUAUCCCUGUAGUGACCACAAAGACCAUUAUUCGUCAACUGCAUCAAGAUCCAAAUAUAUGUGAUCCCAUGUAGUGACCCAAGAAUCAUUUUAGGGUCACUAUAUGAACAUGGGAGGGGAAACUGAACAAUGUGUUCCUUUGUUAUACUUUAAUUAUAUUGAAAACCAAAAAAACUCAUGAUCCAAUAUAGAGACGACCGAACUAUUCUAGGUCAUUAUAUGAAACAUGAGAGGUGAAAUUGAAUAACAGGCCCCACCAUUAUUCAAUACAUCAAAACCCAAAAACUAAUGUUCCCACGUAGUGACCCUAGAACCAUUUUGGUUCCACUAUAUGAAACAUGGCAAGUGACAACAAGUAACUCCAUUAUUUGUUGAUUAUAUCAAGACCCAACAUUUCAUGUUUCCGUAUACUAACCCUAGAACAAUUCUAGGGCCACUAUAUGAAACAUGGGAAGUGAAAUUGAAUGGUGGGUCCAUUAUUCAUUAAUUACAUCAAGACCCAAAAAUUCAUGUUCCAAUAAUGUGACACCAGAAACAUUCUUGAGUCACCAUAUUAAACAUUGGAUGUGAAAUUGAAUUAUAAGUCCCUUCAUUAUUUGUUAAUUGCAUCAAGACCCAAAAUUCAUUUUACCAAGACCCUAGAACCAUUUUGGGGCUAUGAAACUUGAGAGAUAAAAUUGAACGAUAAAUGCCCCCAUAAUUGGUUAAUUACAUCAAGAGCCAAAAUUUCAUUUUCCUGUAUAGUAACCAUAGAACCAUUCUAGGGCCACUACAUGAAAUGUGAAGGUGAAAUUGAUUAAUCUAGCUUAAUGGAAAUUUGCGAAGUGAAAUUGAAUGAUGAGUGCCUCCAUUAUUCGUUAAUUAGAUCAAGACCCAAAAUUUCAUGUUUUCAAGAGACAUUCUAGAUUAACAAACAUGGGAAGUGAAACAAAACAACAAGUCCAUUUGCUAUUUGUUAAUUAAAUCAAGACACAAAAAUUCAUAUUUUGGCAUUCUGGGAUCACUAUAUGCAAAAUGGGAGGAGAAAUUGAAUGAUCGGUCCCCAUCUUAUUCAUUAAUUAUAUCAAGAUCUAAACCCUGAUGGUAGAAAAAUUGUCGAUAAAUCUCUGUUUAUCUAAGGAUCAUAAUUCAUAAUUUAAACUAAAAUUCAAACAUGAAAGGGAAACUCAAAUGAACAAUGUUCUUUCUUUUGUGAGACCAUUUUCAUCAAAGAAAAAUACUCCAUCUUUUGGACAACAGCCCCCAUCAUGAAAAUAAGUCUCCUGAAAUAAGACAUCUGGAUAUAGAAACUAAAAAUAUGCCAUGGUUUGGACAACAACCCCAAUCAUGAAAAUGAGUCUCCUGAAAUAAGACAUCAUUUGAGGGUACCAUUUUCAUCAAAGAGAAAUAGUCCAUCCUUUGGACAACAAACCCAAUCAUGAAAAUGAGUCUCCUGAAAUAAGACAUCUGGGCAUAGAAAUUAAAAAAGGAGAUUGCGGGUGCCGUGCUUCCUAUCCUCGUUAUUAGAAGAACAUAUCAAUUAAAUCCUAUAAGAGAAGAUGCCUGAUAAGGAGUUUGGCUUACAAUACGUGUGAUAAAUGUUGGACAAUGCCCAGAAAAGAAAAGAAUAGGAUAAGGGCCUUGGGCCUUGGGCAUGGAGGCCUAUGGCCCUUACUUUCAUUUUCUUUAACAAAUUGUGGAAGUCUUGAUGCUGAUCUUCUAUCAUAUUUUUCUUGACAUUGUUAAAGUUGUAUCUCCCUUCUUUCGUGGCCACUUCUGCUAUUUAUAGCUGAAGAGGUGGUGGUUAUUUGCAUGGAAGUUACAGGUAGAAACUGGAAGUUGUCAUAAGCCAUCAAAAGAGAUGGUUCCUAUAGUUGUCACAGGCUAUUGAUUUAUAGGCUAUCCAGGUGCUAGUUGCUGUAGGCUGUCCAAGGACUCCUAUCAUAUAACCGCAAGAGGUGGUAUCAACUCAACCAAUGGCAUACAGAUACAGAUAUUUAUGAAUCAUAAACUGAUAGAUAUUUAAAGAAAAAGCAAAUCUAAACAUGCAAAAUUUAAAGCCGACUGUUGUCAAGCACUCGCAGCACAUAAAGGAGAAUAAUUAAUAUAAAGCAUCCAUUAUGAUCACUAGUCAAAAACAAAAGCAAAAGGAUGCCAGAAACGAAAGUUGAGAGUGAUGCAAAUUGCAAACCUUCUCCUAUCUGAUAUGUUUUCUGAGCAGGCAAGGGAUGAUGUGCUUCCUGUACCAAGACCAAUCGCCAUUCUAAUUUUCACAAGUCCAACUGUCUUCUUAUCAAGAGCAUGCUCCAAUGCAUCUUGUUCUUCAUGCAUUGUCACCCGGAAGCAGUAUGCAGUUAAUGAAUGCAUAAAAUGCUAAACAGUGCAACUCAUCAAACAAACAAACAAAAUUUCUUUAUAUACUAUUUGACAAGGAUUUAGAAUCCACAUGAAAAGCAUGACACUCACUCCUGAAACCACAGAUAUUCCUCAGUUGCCGCAGAUAAAUGAAAAACACUAGUAAAUAGUUCAGCUACUGCGACUGCAACUGCCUGGAUAAAUUAAAUUUUGGGAUAAAUUUGUUGCUUUGACUAUCUAAAAGAGCAUAAGCACAGCUCAUAUAAAGUUUACAUAUUAGUUCUCAUCAUUGAAUACACAUUCUAUUUCUGGGUGUACGAUGUGGAGCCCAACAAAACAGGACUACCUUCAUAAAUUGCCGAGAGCUAUCAGAAAAAAAUUAAAUAUCAUCAGCUAGACCGUAUCCAACCAUGUUUAACUUUCCAAGAAUUGCAAAUAUAUCCAUCAAACGAUAAGCAGUAAUAAAGGUGGAUAAGCAUCAAUCAGCAAUUUGUUGCAGGUUCUGCUGAUCAAAUUAACACAACGUCCCACAUUUCUCCAGCCGAAACAGGAAUCUCUCUCAUUACUAGCAGGAAUUCAGAAUUACAUUGGGGGGAAAGCAACUGGAAACUUCAUCCAUCAUAAUUCAGUUAAUCCAAUAAUUAAACUUCCAAAAAAACAAAAAACACAAUUACAUCAUUUUUUUACACAAUUUCCAAAAAGAAACUUAAAAGCCUAAAUCCAGAGAACUAGAGGUAGGGUUUAAGAGGCCAACCACUUUGGUAGCUGCCGCGAUGAGGGAGACCAAUUCCUUGGUCGCCACAUCUCUCGCCUUUCCUCCUUUCUUGUCUCCAAAUCAUCUAAAAUAGAAGAAAUCCAGCAACCCCGAACAGAUUCUUGAAGCUAAUGGCUCCUUGCAUCGCUAGCGCUGCCCAAAUCUAGGGUUUCGGCAGAGAAAGCUCGUAUCGUUGGUUCCUUCUAGGGUUUCGGUCCGGACUUAACCGACAGUUCCGGGGCCGAAUCCGACUCUCGAGAUAUCGUCAGUCGGGGUAAUUUUGGCCGGCUUCGGAUUCUCUCCGGAAGGAGACACCAAAAUCCCCGGAGAUCCGCGCCGACAGCGAUCUGGUGCGGGAGGCCGUACACAGCAUCCGUGCGUAUGUCGGUUCAGACGAUGCAUGGCAUUGGGGCAACGGAGAGCGUUGGUGAAAGAAAAAUUAUACCCUACGCUGCAUGCAUCACGUGGUUGUGCACCCCAUCGCACUCAUUCAUUUUUAUAAAUUUUUUUUAUCAAACACAUAUAUUCAUGUAUCAUUAUAAAAACGAACGAUUAUGAUUGGUGCUAUAUAUAAUUAUAUAAAAUAUAAUAUAAAUUAUAAAUUUUGUUAGACUACAUGCUAGCAUACUUUUGAUGUUGGUGGUUGAAGGGUCCUGAACUUAUCAACAAAUUUACAAUCACCAAU
rnacentral:lncRNA from 1 species